AGUGAACGCUGGCGGUAGGCCUAACACAUGCAAGUCGAACGGCAGCACAGUAAGAGCUUGCUCUUACGGGUGGCGGGUGGCGGACGGGUGAGGAAUACAUCGGAAUCUACUUUUUCGUGGGGGAUAACGUAGGGAAACUUACGCUAAUACCGCAUACGACCUACGGGUGAAAGCAGGGGAUCUUCGGACCUUGCGCGAUUGAAUGAGCCGAUGUCGGAUUAGCUAGUUGGCGGGGUAGAGGCCCACCAAGGCGACGAUCCGUAGCUGGUCUGAGAGGAUGAUCAGCCACACUGGAACUGAGACACGGUCCAGACUCCUACGGGAGGCAGCAGUGGGGAAUAUUGGACAAUGGGCGCAAGCCUGAUCCAGCCAUACCGCGUGGGUGAAGAAGGCCUUCGGGUUGUAAAGCCCUUUUGUUGGGAAAGAAAAGCAGCAGGUUAAUACCCCGCUGUUCUGACGGUACCCAAAGAAUAAGCACCGGCUAACUUCGUG
rnacentral:rRNA from 1 species